rnacentral:rRNA from 1 species
CUACGGGAGGCAGCAGUAGGGAAUCUUGCGCAAUGGGCGAAAGCCUGACGCAGCCAUGCCGCGUGAAUGAUGAAGGUCUUAGGAUUGUAAAAUUCUUUCACCGGGGACGAUAAUGACGGUACCCGGAGAAGAAGCCCCGGCUAACUUCGUGCCAGCAGCCGCGGUAAUA